GACGAACGCUGGCGGCGUGCUUAACACAUGCAAGUCGAACGGAAAGGCCCUGCUUUUGUGGGGUGCUCGAGUGGCGAACGGGUGAGUAACACGUGAGUAACCUGCCCUUGACUUUGGGAUAACUUCAGGAAACUGGGGCUAAUACCGGAUAGGAGCUCCUGCUGCAUGGUGGGGGUUGGAAAGUUUCGGCGGUUGGGGAUGGACUCGCGGCUUAUCAGCUUGUUGGUGGGGUAGUGGCUUACCAAGGCUUUGACGGGUAGCCGGCCUGAGAGGGUGACCGGCCACAUUGGGACUGAGAUACGGCCCAGACUCCUACGGGAGGCAGCAGUGGGGAAUAUUGCCCAAUGGGCGGAAGCCUGAUGCAGCAACGCCGCGUGCGGGAUGACGGCCUUCGGGUUGUAAGCCGCUUUCGCCUGUGACGAAGCGUGAGUGACGGUAAUGGGUAAAGAAGCACCGGCUAACUACGUG
rnacentral:rRNA from 1 species